rnacentral:rRNA from 1 species
AUGACAGGCAGAUUCAAGGGGCAAUUGGCUAGUGCUAUUGCAGUGGAUGGCCAUAAUUGGAUGUAUCCAGUUUAUUUUGAAAUUUUUGACUCUGAAACAAAUGAAAAUUGGAUCUGGUUCAUGCAAUUGCUAAGACAUGCCAUAGGAUCACCAACAGGUUUAGCCAUAUGCACUGAUGCUGGCCAAGCAGUGAUGACAGGGGUAAAAGAAGUGUUCCCAGAGGCAGAACAUAUAGAAUGUAUGUUCCACUUGGUGAGCAACUUCAAGAAGAUGUUUACUGGAAAAGUAUUUGAUGACCACCUAUGGGCAGCUGCUUACUCAUGGAACCCAUAUAUAUUUGACAAGAAUUGGGGUGCAAUGGAGGCAGUAAAGCCAGCCGCAACAACAUAUAUUAGAAAGUGGCACGAUAGGUUGUGGUCUAGGAGUCAGUUCUCGAUCAUAUGCAAGGUGGACUAUGUAACCAACAACUUGGCGGAGUGCUUUAACAAUUGGAUCAAGCACCACAAGUCAUUGAACUUGGACGAUUUCUUGGACAAGGUGAGGCAGCUGAUUAUGAUCUUGUGGAAUGAUAGGAGAAAAGUAGCAAAGAAGUUAGAUGGAUUGAUUCUACCCCACAUGAUGAAGUGA